rnacentral:rRNA from 1 species
GCAUGUCUAAGUUCACACCCUCGUACGGUGAAACCGCGAAUGGCUCAUUAAAUCAGUCGAGGUUCCUUAGAUGAUCCUAAUUUACUUGGAUAACUGUGGUAAUUCUAAAGCUAAUACAUGCCAACCAGCUUCGACCCGUUG